ACUUUUGAACUUGCAAGGAGCAGUCAAGCGUCUCACUGUGAUAAACCUACGAAGUAUUCUUUCUCUCAUUUUCUUGUUUAGAAAAAGUUAUCAACUAAGUGGUCGAACUCUUCGUAAACUACCAUUCCUUGCACAUGCGCUGUACUCAAAAGCGCAAACGAUAACCUUAGAGGUGUUUUUGAAUAAUCUUUCAAUGGUUGUCGACAAGCAGUUCAAAGAAAAAGAGAAUCUUUGCUCAGUUGGUGAAGAAAAAAGCGUGCAAACGUGAUCUUUUUAGCGAUUGUAUACUUUUUAUACAUUCAUAGUAAUAUUUUGGAUAUGUUUUGUUGAAGAUUAAGAUUUUUGUAUUGCUCAAUUUAAGUUCAAUAAGUAACAUAGAUCACAAA